rnacentral:rRNA from 1 species
CGGCACCUCAAGUGGUCAGGAUGAUUAUUGGGCCUAAAGCAUCCGUAGCCUGUUCUGUAAGUUUCCGGUUAAAUCCAUUAGCUCAACUAAUGGGCUGCCGAAAAUACUGCAAAACUAGGGAGUGGGAGAGGUAGACGGUACUCGGUAGGAAGGGGUAAAAUCCUUUGAUCUAUUGAUGACCACCUGUGGCGAAGGCGGUCUACCAGAACACGUCCGACGGUGAGGGAUGAAAGCUGGGGGAGCAAACCGGAUUAGAUACCCGAGUAGUCC